rnacentral:hammerhead_ribozyme from 1 species
AUCCAGCUGACAAUUUCCAAAUAGGACGAAAUGCACAUCCUGGAU